CGAAAUCCCAAGGUUGAACUGACUCUACUAGGACCCCAUAUAUCUGAAUGAACUAAAGAAAACACAGACUCUGCACGACUCUCAAUACUACAAGGAAAAGAGGCGCGGGUAUGUUUACCGAGCUGACAUGACUCACACUCUAAUGUGGACAAACUAGACAAACGAGGCACCAUCUUCUGAAGCUUGGACAAGCUAGGAUGUCCUAAACGACUG
rnacentral:lncRNA from 1 species